GAGUAACACGUGGGUACCUACCCAUAAGACUGGGAUAACUCCGGGAAACCGGGGCUAAUACCGGAUAAUAUUUUGAACUGCAUAGUUCGAAAUUGAAAGGCGGCUUCGGCUGUCACUUAUGGAUGGACCCGCGUCGCAUUAGCUAGUUGGUGAGGUAACGGCUCACCAAGGCGACGAUGCGUAGCCGACCUGAGAGGGUGAUCGGCCACACUGGGACUGAGACACGGCCCAGACUCCUACGGGAGGCAGCAGUAGGGAAUCUUCCGCAAUGGACGAAAGUCUGACGGAGCAACGCCGCGUGAGUGAUGAAGGCUUUCGGGUCGUAAAACUCUGUUGUUAGGGAAGAACAAGUGCUAGUUGAAUAGCUUGGCACCUUGACGGUACCUAA
rnacentral:rRNA from 1 species